rnacentral:lncRNA from 1 species
GUGAGAGAUAAGAAUAUUACUGACAUAUCUUUAUUCCCAGGGAAGAAGGGCUUACGUAAGUUUUGUAUUGUUUUCAAUAUACAAGAAAAUUAAAUUUUGAGAAUUUCUAAAUAACCAAAUAGCUAUACGUAUAGUAAAAUAUAACUUGUGCGUGUUUUGCCAAACAAAAAGUUUAUCAUCAUCGUGAUUACAGCCAUUUUAAUUUGUAGUAGGUACCUACCUAUAAAAUGUGUUGGAGUGUAUAACACAUGGAUAUUUAGAUCAAAAAUAAAGGGGAACAAUUACUUAAGGCAAAAUUUAAAAAAAUAAACAAAAGCCAUUAAGAUUGGCUACACAUUUCGUGGGGAACUUUGGAUGAUUUUGAGAAACUUAGCCCCAAACUCCUCUUCUCUAUCACUACCUAUAACUAAACCACUUUCUACCACCAACUAGUAUUGUGUAUGAUAACGUAACCUAAUCUAGGACAACGAAAUUCGUGGUCAUGCCAUUACGUGUACACUAAGUAGGGAAAGAAUUUUUAACGAAAUUAUUAUGACGUGCAUGUGGUUGACCGCGGUGAACGCGAUGCGAAUUAUACACCACUAUAAUAUUUUUGUUAUUGUUAUUGUUAUUAAAAAUAUGAUUACUGUACUAUUAAAAAAAAAAAAAAAACAUCGGAAACCGAUCGCGGGGACAUUUGCAGACCAACGGUUCGGUUUCUUUCCGAGCACUCGGUCGAUUUCGGCAAUAUAAUAAUUACGCACAGUGUCGUGGUUCUUUUGUCACCGGGACCUUUGUCUCCUGAAAGCUGGACCGCGACGGAGGCAAACCCCGUCGUCUGAGCCCUACUGGAAAAAAAAAAAAAUCAAAAAACCAAACAAUGCCACCGGUCCGGUUUCCUCCGCCUCUCUCUUUCUACUUCUCUCUCUCUCUCUCACUUCACGUCUAGACUUCUCGUCUAUCUGGCUGCUGUGGCACCCUGUAUAUACUCGCGUAUAAUGCAAAUGUACUUGUCAAUCACGUCUCCCAGACGAACACCGCGUUGCUGCACAAUGUGCGAGCUAUUGGCAGGAAAAAAAACCGACUUUUUUUUCUCCCCCAUUAUUCUUACAUUAUAUAUUAUAAACGUGUCGUGUACCAAUAAUUUCUGCGGCGUGGCAGCACACCCGACGCGACGAAAAUAUAAUAUCGUUGUAUAGGUAUUCACGUGUGUGACGGGAAUAGCGGUUUUAACUCGGGUGUGAGCUAAUACUAUAUGGGCUAUUUCGAGCAAAAAAAAAAAAAAUGUCAUCUAUAGAUGUAUGUGUGCAGCGGCGAAACGAAAGUGAUUACAUCACUGUUUAUUUUAAGACUUAGUGCUGGGCUAGCGUUUAAUACGAAAAAAACACUAAACGUUAUCGAACCACUCGUUUGCUAUUAAUCUAGUGAAAAUAGAUGAACAUAUAGGUCGGUGUUGGUGGGCAGACAACUGGAUAGAGACUAUAGAUUGUUUCUGGGUUAUUUGAUGGGUUCGCUUCGCCGCUGUAUCCGAAAAUCGAAAAUAUAGACGGCGCGCGCCGUCGGCACAAACACGUGCCUCUGUUGUUCGAUUAUAACCUCGGUGCGGCAGAUGGGGUCGUCGUCGUCGUCGGUUCGCCGACUGAAAAUCCGAAGUCGCGUGUGUUUACGUAAGGAAGAUUCGCGCGACAAUAAUCGACCGGCCAACAAUAAUAAUAACGUCGCAGCUGGACAUUCUCGGCGACGACGACUAUACGCGUAAUUAUUUGCGUACGGACGCCUCUAUGAGAAAUUCGGUUCGCAUGCCCGGUGGUGCGCCGAC